CGUGCUGCCUCGCGUUUCUUUCUUUCUUUCUCUCUCUCUCUCCGUCGUGGUGCGUGUCGCCCGCGUGCCGCGGCGUGCUGCUGCCGCGCGCCUACGAGCCGCCGCCGCCGUACGUGCUGCGCGCCGCUGGCACUCGCCGCCGUGCGCUGCUGCUGCGUGCGCGCCGCUGUCGUGCGCCGUCGUCGCUGCCGCGAGCCGCCGUGUGCCUGCAAGCCGGGCCGCCGCCGUUGCUCUCUCUGUGUCGCUGCUAGCUGCUGCACAGAAGAAGCAAACAAGAACCGGCAAAGAAGAAAGCCAGGGAAGAAGAGAGAAAAGAAAAAAGGAGAAGAGAAAAGAAAAGAAAAGGAGAAGAAGAAAGAAGAAAGAAGAAAGAAAAGAGCCGGCCGGGAGAGAAGCCAGGAAGAAGAAGGAAGAAAGGAAAAAAAAAAGAGAAAAGGAAAGAGAAAAGAAAAAAGGGGAAAAAAAAAAAGAAGAAAAAAAAAAGGAAAAGUUGGAAAUUUCGGGAUUUCGUCGGAUUCGUCGUCAAUCUUUCGAAGGCGAUUUCUCGGUGGUACUAUUUCCGGACGUUCUUGAUCGAAUUUUCUUCAUCGUCGGUAAAGGCAAGUGAAUGUAUUGUAUGACUAUGCUUUAACCUAAUAUUGGGUUGCCUACAUUCUUUAAUUACAGUGCAUUCAUCUAAUCUGAAUGACUGAUUCUGAGCUGGGUACUAUGUUGUUUACGUUUCCAGAAGUUUACUCGAUGAUUGAUUUAUGAAGUGCAGUAUGUUUAGAUGUUGACGUGCAUUUUGGGGAUGGAUCUUGGUAGCUGCACACACUACCUCAUCACCAUGUUGAUAGCUCAACCGGUGUUAUAAAUGGUGGUUUUGGUGGUCUGUCGUUUGCUUGGUUUAUGUCGUGGUAUGACGCUGGUAGCGUCGUGAAGGUUUCUAUAUAUAUAUGCCGGUUAUGUCA